GACGAACGCUGGCGGCGUGCCUAAUACAUGCAAGUCGAACGCUUCUUUUCCCACCGGAGCUUGCUCCACCGGGAAAAGAGGAGUGGCGAACGGGUGAGUAACACGUGGGUAACCUGCCCAUCAGCAGGGGAUAACACUUGGAAACAGGUGCUAAUACCGUAUAACAAUCGAAACCGCCUGGGUUCGUUUUGAAAGUCGCUUUACGGUGCCGCUGAUGGAUGGACCCGCGGUGCAUUAGCUAGUUGGUGGGGUAAGGGCUCACCAAGGCCACGAAGCAUAGCCGACCUGAGAGGGUGAUCGGCCACAUUGGGACUGAGACACGGCCCAAACGCCUACGGGAGGCAGCAGUAGGGAAUCUUCGGCAAUGGACGAAAGUCUGACCGAGCAACGCCGCGUGAGUGAAGAAGGUUUUCGGAUCGUAAAACUCUGUUGUUAGAGAAGAACAAGGGUGAGAGUAACUGUUCACCCCUUGACGGUAUCUAACCAGAAAGCCACGGCUAACUACGUGCCAGCCGCCGCGGUAA
rnacentral:rRNA from 1 species